rnacentral:rRNA from 1 species
UACGUAGGGUGCGAGCGUUGUCCGGAAUUACUGGGCGUAAAGAGCUCGUAGGUGGUUUGUCGCGUUGUUCGUGAAAUCUCACGGCUUAACUGUGAGCGUGCGGGCGAUACGGGCAGACUAGAGUACUGCAGGGGAGACUGGAAUGCCUGGUGUAGUGGUGAAAUGCGUAGAGAUCAGGCAGAACACCUGGGGCGAAGGCGGCCGGCUGGGCCGUCCCUGACGCUGAGGCGCGAAGGCGUGGGGAGCGAACGGG